UACGUAGGGUGCAAGCGUUAAUCGGAAUUACUGGGCGUAAAGGGUGCGUAGGCGGUUCGUUAAGUCUGUCGUGAAAUCCCCGGGCUCAACCUGGGAAUGGCGAUGGAUACUGGCGAGCUAGAGUGUGUCAGAGGAUGGUGGAAUUCCCGGUGUAGCGGUGAAAUGCGUAGAGAUCGGGAGGAACAUCAGUUGCGAAGGCGGCUCUCUGGACCAGCACUGACACUGAGGCACGAAAGCGUGGGGAGCAAACAGG
rnacentral:rRNA from 1 species